rnacentral:rRNA from 1 species
GGUUAAGCGACUAAGCGUACACGGUGGAUGCCCUGGCAGUCAGAGGCGAUGAAGGACGUGCUAAUCUGCGAUAAGCGCCGGUAAGGUGAUAUGAACCGUUAUAACCGGCGAUUUCCGAAUGGGGAAACCCAGUGUGAUUCGUCACACUAUCAUUAACUGAAUCCAUAGGUUAAUGAGGCGAACCGGGGGAACUGAAACAUCUAAGUACCCCGAGGAAAAGAAAUCAACCGAGAUUCCCCCAGUAGCGGCGAGCGAACGGGGAGGAGCCCAGAGCCUGAAUCAGCAUGUGUGUUAGUGGAAGCGUCUGGAAAGGCGCGCGAUACAGGGUGACAGCCCCGUACACAAAAGCGCAUGUGCUGUGAGCUCGAUGAGUAGGGCGGGACACGUGGUAUCCUGUCUGAAUAUGGGGGGACCAUCCUCCAAGGCUAAAUACUCCUGACUGACCGAUAGUGAACCAGUACCGUGAGGGAAAGGCGAAAAGAACCCCGGCGAGGGGAGUGAAAAAGAACCUGAAACCGUGUACGUACAAGCAGUGGGAGCACAGGUUUACCUGUGUGACUGCGUACCUUUUGUAUAAUGGGUCAGCGACUUAUAUUCUGUAGCAAGGUUAACCGAAUAGGGGAGCCGGAGGGAAACCGAGUCUUAAUUGGGCGUUAAGUUGCAGGGUAUAGACCCGAAACCCGGUGAUCUAGCCAUGGGCAGGUUGAAGGUUGGGUAACACUAACUGGAGGACCGAACCGACUAAUGUUGAAAAAUUAGCGGAUGACCUGUGGCUGGGGGUGAAAGGCCAAUCAAACCGGGAGAUAGCUGGUUCUCCCCGAAAGCUAUUUAGGUAGCGCCUCGUGAAUUCAUCUCCGGGGGUAGAGCACUGUUUCGGCUAGGGGGCCAUCCCGGCUUACCAACCCGAUGCAAACUGCGAAUACCGGAGAAUGUUAUCACGGGAGACACACGGCGGGUGCUAACGUCCGUCGUGAAGAGGGAAACAACCCAGACCGCCAGCUAAGGUCCCAAAGUCAUGGUUAAGUGGGAAACGAUGUGGGAAGGCCCAGACAGCCAGGAUGUUGGCUUAGAAGCAGCCAUCAUUUAAAGAAAGCGUAAUAGCUCACUGGUCGAGUCGGCCUGCGCGGAAGAUGUAACGGGGCUAAACCAUGCACCGAAGCUGCGGCAGCGAACGUAUCACUUAAAGCGAUUCAGCGGGUUACGAUUGACGGAGCGAAGCGACGUCAAAGCGUAUACAAAGUCGAGUCGGUUUAAGGAUACGUUCGUUGGGUAGGGGAGCGUUCUGUAAGCCCGUGAAGGUGGCCUGUGAGGGUUGCUGGAGGUAUCAGAAGUGCGAAUGCUGACAUAAGUAACGAUAAAGCGGGUGAAAAGCCCGCUCGCCGGAAGACCAAGGGUUCCUGUCCAACGUUAAUCGGGGCAGGGUGAGUCGACCCCUAAGGCGAGGCCGAAAGGCGUAGUCGAUGGGAAACGGGUUAAUAUUCCCGUACUUGGUGUUACUGCGAAGGGGGGACGGAGAAGGCUAUGUUGGCCGGGCGACGGUUGUCCCGGUUUAAGCGUGUAGGUGUGUGUUCCAGGUAAAUCCGGUUCACUUUAACACUGAGGCGUGACGACGAGGCACUACGGUGCUGAAGCAACAAAUGCCCUGCUUCCAGGAAAAGCCUCUAAGCAUCAGGUAACACGAAAUCGUACCCCAAACCGACACAGGUGGUCAGGUAGAGAAUACCAAGGCGCUUGAGAGAACUCGGGUGAAGGAACUAGGCAAAAUGGUGCCGUAACUUCGGGAGAAGGCACGCUGACACGUAGGUGAAGUGAUUUACUCAUGGAGCUGAAGUCAGUCGAAGAUACCAGCUGGCUGCAACUGUUUAUUAAAAACACAGCACUGUGCAAACACGAAAGUGGACGUAUACGGUGUGACGCCUGCCCGGUGCCGGAAGGUUAAUUGAUGGGGUCAGCGUAAGCGAAGCUCCUGAUCGAAGCCCCGGUAAACGGCGGCCGUAACUAUAACGGUCCUAAGGUAGCGAAAUUCCUUGUCGGGUAAGUUCCGACCUGCACGAAUGGCGUAAUGAUGGCCAGGCUGUCUCCACCCGAGACUCAGUGAAAUUGAACUCGCUGUGAAGAUGCAGUGUACCCGCGGCAAGACGGAAAGACCCCGUGAACCUUUACUAUAGCUUGACACUGAACAUUGAGCCUUGAUGUGUAGGAUAGGUGGGAGGCUUUGAAGUGUGGACGCCAGUCUGCAUGGAGCCGACCUUGAAAUACCACCCUUUAAUGUUUGAUGUUCUAACGUGGACCCGUAAUCCGGGUUGCGGACAGUGUCUGGUGGGUAGUUUGACUGGGGCGGUCUCCUCCUAAAGAGUAACGGAGGAGCACGAAGGUUGGCUAAUCCUGGUCGGACAUCAGGAGGUUAGUGCAAUGGCAUAAGCCAGCUUGACUGCGAGCGUGACGGCGCGAGCAGGUGCGAAAGCAGGUCAUAGUGAUCCGGUGGUUCUGAAUGGAAGGGCCAUCGCUCAACGGAUAAAAGGUACUCCGGGGAUAACAGGCUGAUACCGCCCAAGAGUUCAUAUCGACGGCGGUGUUUGGCACCUCGAUGUCGGCUCAUCACAUCCUGGGGCUGAAGUAGGUCCCAAGGGUAUGGCUGUUCGCCAUUUAAAGUGGUACGCGAGCUGGGUUUAGAACGUCGUGAGACAGUUCGGUCCCUAUCUGCCGUGGGCGCUGGAGAACUGAGGGGGGCUGCUCCUAGUACGAGAGGACCGGAGUGGACGCAUCACUGGUGUUCGGGUUGUCAUGCCAAUGGCACUGCCCGGUAGCUAAAUGCGGAAGAGAUAAGUGCUGAAAGCAUCUAAGCACGAAACUUGCCCCGAGAUGAGUUCUCCCUGAGACUUAGAGUCUCCUGAAGGAACGUUGAAGACGACGACGUUGAUAGGCCGGGUGUGUAAGCGCAGCGAUGCGUUGAGCUAACCGGUACUAAUGAACCGUGAGGCUUAACCUU